UGGGGAAUUUUGGACAAUGGGCGCAAGCCUGAUCCAGCCAUGCCGCGUGAGUGAAGAAGGCCUUCGGGUUGUAAAGCUCUUCGGCCGGAAGAAAUCGUGGUCUCUAACAUAGGCCAUGGAUGACGGUACCGGACUAAGAAGCACCGGCUAACUACGUGCC
rnacentral:rRNA from 1 species